rnacentral:rRNA from 1 species
UGCAUGUCUAAGUAUGAACGCUCCUCACUGUGAAACUGCGAAUGGCUCAUUAAAUCAGUUAUAGUUUAUUUGAUGGUACCUCCUACUUGGAUAACCGUGGUAAUUCUAGAGCUAAUACAUGCAGCAAGUCCCGACUUCUGGAAGGGACGUAUUUAUUAGAUACAAAACCAAUGCAGCUUCGGCUGGUCCCUUGGUGAUUCAUGAUAACUGCUCGAAUCGCAUGGCCUUGCGCUGGCGAUGGUUCAUUCAAGUUUCUGCCCUAUCAACUGUCGAUGGUAGGGUAUUGGCCUACCAUGGUUGCAACGGGUGACGGAGAAUUAGGGUUCGAUUCCGGAGAGGGAGCCUGAGAAACGGCUACCACAUCCAAGGAAGGCAGCAGGCGCGCAAAUUACCCAAUCCCGACUCGGGGAGGUAGUGACAAAAAAUACUGAUACCGGGCUCACAAAGUCCGGCAAUCGGAAUGAGAACAACUUAAACCCCUUAUCGAUGAACAAUUGGAGGGCAAGUCUGGUGCCAGCAGCCGCGGUAAUUCCAGCUCCAAUAGCGUAUAUUAAAGUUGUUGCAGUUAAAAAGCUCGUAGUUGGAUUUCGGGGCGGUCCCGUCGGUCCGUCGUGAGACUGGCACUGACGGGCCUCCCUUCCUCUCGAAGUCCCCGUCUGCUCUUCACUGCAGUGGAGUGGGGAAUUCGUGACGUUUACUGUGAAAAAAUUAGAGUGUUCAAAGCAGGCAGCCGCUUGAAUACAUUAGCAUGGAAUAAUGGAAUAGGACUUGGGUCCUAUUUUGUUGGUUUCCGGGACCGAAGUAAUGAUUAAUAGGGACAGUCGGGGGCAUUCGUAUUUAAUUG